GACAGUGUGGAGUAGUGGUUUGAGAGUUGGACUGCAACUCAGGAGGUCAGGGUUUGAUUCCCAGCUCAGCCA